UGGCGCCUCUCUCUCUCUCUUAUAGGUGCGGGCGGUGCUGCCUGUGGAGGAGGGCGCAGCUGUGUACCACUGUGAGGCGCAGCUGGACGGCAGAACCAUUGUGACUCACUGCUUGGAGAAGAACAAGGCAGAGAAGGUGUACAAGGAGGCUUUGAAAGAGGGGAAGACUGCCCUCAUGACACGAGAAGACCCUGACUCAAGCGACAUUCUCACGCUUAACCUCGGCAACUUUCCUGCGGGAACGAGGGCCAAGGUCACCCUUCGUCUGGUGAUGGAGUUGAGGGUUGAGACAGACGGCAUCAUCAGCUUUGUUUUGCCCACAGUACUCAACCCGCGCUACACCCCUGCUGACCACCCUCGCAGGCAAGGUAGGUCAGCUGAGGUCACAGGUCGUGUCAGCUCAAGGGAGUGUGUGGUGGGUUUGAAAUGCACUAAAACACUUGUAGUUGUUAUUGAUUGUUAUAUUCCAGAUUAUACCAGAUUGGUUUGGGGCGAGGAGAAUUC